ACCUUUCUCCUCUUCUAAUCUUUGUUCUCUGAACGUUUGCUCAAUCUCAUUAUUCAAUCUCUCUCUCAAACAAGCAGACGCCUUGGAAACUACACAUGACACAGCGAACUAGUUUUUAUCGGAAUCGGGAUUCGAAAGCCUCAAAAACUCCACUUGCUGGAAUGGAGAAGGCACCAGAAACCUUCUUCCGACGCCCAAGUAUUCGUGAGUACAUGCUCAUUGUAUAAUCAUUAGGACUAAAGCUGGCUGGAUGCUUAAACGCUUCAAAGUAAAUGUACCAAAAAAACAAGGGGC
rnacentral:lncRNA from 1 species